AAGAGUUAGGGUCUUCUCGGCCCGACCUCCCAACCCUUUGUUUACUUAACUAUCGUUGCUUCGGCGAGCCCGUCAUUUCUUAUGACCGCCGGAGGGCCGUAAUAAGCUCUCUGGUCCGUGCUCGUCGAUGGCCAACCAUUUUUAAACGCUUAAAUAAACGUGUCUUUAUCUGAGUACUAUAUUUAAUAAAAGCA
rnacentral:misc_RNA from 1 species